rnacentral:lncRNA from 10 species
CUUUCAGUUGCUGGGCUGGAAGGGAGCUGAGAACAUUGUUAAGUGUGGACAAUGUACAGAGAUGGAAUGUCAACCCAAAGGAAACUUCUGGAAUACAGAGACCAACAAGAGGCUGAGACUGAAAGACUGUGCCAGAGGCAACACUCAUGGGACCAGGGCAGACCAAGUGGCCAUGUCCUUGUAGUCAAGCAAGUCUGGAAUGCUCAGGCUGCAGAGGCUCUACAUGUUCUUUGAAAAUCACUCUCUGUCAUCUCCGUGCUAACACCCAAGCGACACAGUCUGCACAGAGGUUCAUCUGGUGAGCCUGAGGAUUUGUACGCAUUGUGUUGAAGCUGAAAAAUGGGGCUCUUUCAUUUCCUUCUCCAUCCUGCUUACUUAUUGUGAGUAGAUUUCCCAGUGUGAAAAUUAGUUUCAAUAUUUAUUCAGCGCUCGACGCUUUAUGAUUGUGUUCUGAAAGUUGAAGAAUGUACUUUUCCUUCUCUUCCCUUGUAGGUGAGCACGGAGCCCAGCCUCCCCACACAUCAGUGAAAAGAAAUCCCCCCGAAACAUACAUUUAAAAAGAAACCCUUGAAAUAUUUUUAGAAAAAUAUUAAACCUUAGCGAAAACUUGGUCUACA